rnacentral:lncRNA from 1 species
UCUGUUAACAGAUUGGCAAGCGUACCAAAUCGUAUCAAGUAAUAAUAAAUGGUAAGACCAAGUAUCGUUUUCCCAAGAGACUCGAAACGCCUUAUCGUUCGUGUGAAUUAAAAUCGUAAGACUUGAAAAUAAAAAUUAAUUAAUUUGGUAUGAGAAUAAAAUAUGAACAUGCAAAAGAGAUUGAUUCAAUUGACAAGAAGAAAACAAUGGAUGAAUGGAGUUGUUGGGGGUUUACAAUUUCAUCCUAUCCGCUCUCUCUUAUUUACUCCUCUUGAUUUAUUAGUUUGAUUAAUUAAUUGUCAUGCAACUUUCUUAGCCUACCCUUAACCUGAUCCCUCGGCGAAAAGAGCCUAAUACUAAUUACUAGCUUGCUAUCCCUAGCCUCCCCUAGCAAUUAAUACAGUAUUAUAGAGCAGAAGUUAUAAACAAUUGAUCGUCCUACCCCUAUCCCUGGGUGGUAUUGCUGAAUCAAGGAAUUACUCACCAGUUCAUGACAUUACUGUACGUCCCCGUAUCAAUAAAGACAAACAUCAGUUAUCGAAUGAGUUAAANN